rnacentral:rRNA from 1 species
UACAGAGGUCUCAAGCGUUGUUCGGAUUCAUUGGGCGUAAAGGGUGCGUAGGCGGCGCGGUAAGUCGGGGGUGAAAUCUUGGAGCUUAACUCCGAAACUGCAUUCGAUACUGCCGUGCUUGAGGACUGGAGAGGAGACUGGAAUUUACGGUGUAGCGGUGAAAUGCGUAGAUAUCGUAAGGAAGACCAGUGGCGAAGGCGGGUCUCUGGACAGUUCCUGACGCUGAGGCACGAAGGCCAGGGGAGCAAACGGG